rnacentral:rRNA from 1 species
UGGGGAAUAUUGCACAAUGGGCGCAAGCCUGAUGCAGCCAUGCCGCGUGUGUGAAGAAGGCCUUCGGGUUGUAAAGCACUUUCAGCGAGGAGGAAGGUGGUGAGCUUAAUACGCUCAUCAAUUGACGUUACUCGCAGAAGAAGCACCGGCUAACUCCGUGCCAGCAGCCGCGGUAAUACGGAGGGUGCAAGCGUUAAUCGGAAUUACUGGGCGUAAAGCGCACGCAGGCGGUUUGUUAAGUCAGAUGUGAAAUCCCCGGGCUCAACCUGGGAACUGCAUUUGAAACUGGCAAGCUAGAGUCUCGUAGAGGGGGGUAGAAUUCCAGGUGUAGCGGUGAAAUGCGUAGAGAUCUGGAGGAAUACCGGUGGCGAAGGCGGCCCCCUGGACGAAGACUGACGCUCAGGUGCGAAAGCGUGGGGCAGCAAACAGGAUUAGAUACCCUGGUAGUCCACGCUGUAAACGAUGUCGAUUUGGAGGUUGUGCCCUUGAGGCGUGGCUUCCGGAGCUAACGCGUUAAAUCGACCGCCUGGGGAGUACGGCCGCAAGGUUAAAACUCAAAUGAAUUGCGGGUC